rnacentral:lncRNA from 1 species
GGAGGAUCACGAGUUCAAAGCCAGCCUCAGUAAAGCCAGGCACUCAGCACCCCAGUGAGACCCUGUCUCUAAAUAAAAUACAAAAUAGGGUUGGGGCUGGGGCUCAGUGGGCGAGGGCCCCUAAGUUCAAUCCCUGGUACCAAAAAAAAGGGGGGGUGACGUCUUGGAGCUCUGUCAUUGUGCAAUGUCUGCGGUGGCCGUGCUGCUGGCCUGGUGGACAGGAAGAGGCCACAGUGAGGCCCUGGGGGUCGGGCGGCGGCUUCCUGGAUACCUGGUCCUCAGCACUGCCCAGUGAGAGGAGGCUGUCACUGGGAGGGGCUCCUGCCCUGAAGGCCACACCUCUGUGCCACUCCAAUGCGUCCUCAGGCAGCAGGGGCUGGGAGCAGGGGGCAGCCCACGUGGGCAGAGGACCAGGGCCUCUGUUCCUUCCUGGCUCCACCGCACCUGGGCCUCCGCUUGGUCAAAUCCAGGGGAGAGAGCACAGGACCAGAUGGGUCUCCGAUGUGACCUAGUGAUGCCACAUGCUUAGCCACAGCCACCCCAUCCCUGCCUGGGACCAGGCAGGCCCCAGCCACGUGGCUGGACCCUGCGGGCGUCUCUGGUGCCCCUGGUAGGAGGUGGAGUGCACCUCAGAGCCUGUGCACACGGGCGGGCUCCGGCCUGGGCCUCACCCCAGCCUUCUUAGUGUCCCUGGGGGAUUCCCCAGAGCAGGCCCCAGGGCUGUGGGCAGGCCAGGUCCUUCUGGGUGGCGUCCUGGGCCCUGAGGGUGCAGGGCAACAGUCCCUGCCUCCUCCCCUCCAGGCCAGGAGCUACCCAGUUGUGACAGCCAAACAUGUCCCAAGAGGUGGCCCAGGGUCCACUGGGGGCAGAAUCAGUCCCAUUUGAGAGCCUCUGGAUCAGGGGUCACCACAGUAAACACAGCCCAGCGCCCACUGGCUGAGCCACUCUGAUCCUAGACAGGACAGGAUGCCACGCCUGCCUGCCUGGGCAGCACUGCUGAGCGCCCUCCACCAGGGCUGGCCGCUCCCCUGACUGCGCCCCUCCCGAACCCUGUCCUGCCCCCAGUGCCCUGGGUCUGCCCCACAGCCCUGCUGGGUGGCAGCUCCUGCCGGCUGCGUCCUCCGCUCCUUCCUGAUGCUCUGCUCACCUGUCCCUGCCCUGGAGGUCAGCAGAGCUUUCUUCAGGUCCAGUCCUGGCCAACAGAGGACAGGCUACCUGAUGGCUGCCUGGGUCGCUGGGGGGCCUGUGCCUCCAGGGUUCUGGCUGCACACCUGGGCCCAGGUGCCGCUCACAGACCUGCCGCCCGCGCCCCACAGGCGCAGUCUAGGGUUCUCAGUGCACUGACUGUGGACGCUGCACAACCAUGGCCUCCGCCCAGCUCCCGGACAGUCCACUACCCCAAAGGAAGCCGUGACCCAUGAGUCUGUCCCCAGCCCUGCACCGCGAGUCCACGUCCCG